UACAGAGGUGCCAAGCGUUAGGCGGAAUCACUGGGCUUAAAGCGCGCGUAGGCGGAUGUUUAAGUGUCUUGUGAAAUCCCACGGCUCAACCGUGGAACUGCUGGGCAUACUGGACAUCUCGAGGCACUCAGGGGCGAGCGGAACAAGUGGUGGAGCGGUGAAAUGCGUAGAUAUCACUUGGAACGCCAAUGGUGAAGGCGGCUCACUGGCCCGGUACUGACGCUGAGGUGCGAAAGCGUGGGGAGCAAACAGG
rnacentral:rRNA from 1 species